GUUGACCUCGGAUCAGGUAGGGAUACCCGCUGAACUUAAGCAUAUCAU
rnacentral:rRNA from 18 species